AAACUUGUGACCAAAGAAGCGGAUGGCACCCUUACACUAGAGACCUCUGGUGGACAAAUUACUGGCAUAACGUGUCUUAUUUGGGCAAUAGGAAGGAUACCAAGCACAAAGUUUGGUGUGGAAAAACUGGGCGUUCAAAUGGACAGCAAGGGGCACAUCAUUGUGGACGAGUUUCAAAACACAUCUGCUAAGGGGAUAUAUGCUUUGGGCGACGUCUGUGGAAAAUUCCUGCUUACUCCAGUUGCUAUAGCAGCUGGCAGGCGUCUUGUCCAUCGACUUUUCAAUAAUGAGAAGGAUCUGAAAUUGGUAUAUGAGAACAUCGCAACAGUUGUAUUCAGCCACCCACCCGUGGGAACCGUAGGAAUGACAGAA